rnacentral:lncRNA from 1 species
CAAGGUUUAGAGGUUUCAACCUUUCCUGGUGCCACUGUUUUCUUUUGCGCAAGAGGGUUGAGCAUCAGGCACCCUAGGUGGGGUGGCCCCUGUGCCCAGCUUGCUGGUCUGGCAGGGAAGCGCUUUCAGCCACUCGUCACAAGGACCGUUUGGUUAUUCCCUGCAGAACCGAAUGCAGAAGGAGCUGUCGGCUCGCAGCGUCGGCCGUGCAGCCCACCGGAGAAGUCUGCACGGCUCUGCCAGUUGCACAGAAUGAUUCUACUGUAUGAAUUUUUUAAAGAGCCUUCAAUAUACUGUGCGUGUGAAGGGAAGGUAGUAAUCAGAGUAAUCUUGAAGAGUCUUGCAAGUGCACCUCCUUCUAUCCUUUCGUUCUUCAAACAAACUUCUGCGGAGAAGACCAUGCUAUAGUGAAUUUUAACAUCAAGGCAAGCAUCCAGGUGUUUUUCACUUGUCCCAGGACAUAUCAGCAUGCAAGAGCUCAUUGCUGUGGCCCAGCUCCGUAGCCAGCCAGGCUUUUCUGGUGGCUUUUCGUUCUCCUGAGGGCAUCGCUCCGGCAGAGUCAGCGUGGAGGGCCGCGUUUCCAUCACAGCUCUGCCGUGGGGAUCCGAUGCUGAAUGGGCCCAGAGUUUAAAGGGCCCAUCUUUAUCUGAGAACCUAUAGCAGAAGUCAAGCUAAAAAGUGAUUUUACCACCAAAAAGGUUCUGUCCCUCAGGAUACCACCAGCCCUUUUUUGGCAGUCGGUGAUAACUGCCCUUGUUUUCGGAGGACGUUAUCUUGUUUAAAAGUGACUUGAGUUAGCUCUGCCCUGCCAGUAUUUAAGUCUGUGGGGGUAUAAUCUGAAGGAACCUUAACAAGUCUUUUUAAAUAGCAUGUCCAACUAUUAGAGCAGAUUUGUGCCCGAUAAGAAACAUAUCUCGGAAACUCUGCUUUGUAUCUGAGACCAGAGGCCAGCCACUAUAUUUGGUCUGCGUUUGUUUUCCUGAAAAAUCCUGGUAUAAAGCAGGCCCUGUAAAAUAUGGGCAAAUAGUUAAAAUGAAGGACAGAACAAACGAUGCAAAUAUAAUGUUCUUAUUACAAAUAAUGUUAUCUGCAACAGUAUGUCUUGUAAUUCAGCAGUUUUGAUAUUCCUAAAUUACAGUGACAGAAAAUGUUUCGUUUAGGUUCAUACAAAUUUUAUAUUAAAAUGCUUAUUUUUUUCCUGCUAUUUAAGGAGACUUGAAGACCUGUGUAUGGUUCUGUAUGUAUUCUUUUAUCUAAACAUCGCUACAGAAGCAAUAGAAAUUUGAGGCUUCUUAUGUACCAGCUACUUUUUCCUUUUCCUUCCUCAAAGGUUAUCUGUACAGUAGUGAUUAUAAUUUGAGUGUCCUAAGAAGAAAAUAUUUCCCCUGAAUUUAUUUCGUACCUAAUA